rnacentral:rRNA from 1 species
UACGUAGGGUGCGAGCGUUAAUCGGAAUUACUGGGCGUAAAGCGUGCGCAGGCGGUUCGUGAUGUCUGGUGUGAAAGCCCCGGGCUUAACCUGGGAAUUGCAUUGGAAACUAGCGGGCUGGAGUGUGGCAGAGGGGGGUGGAAUUCCACGUGUAGCAGUGAAAUGCGUAGAGAUGUGGAGGAAUACCGAUGGCGAAGGCAGCCCCCUGGGAUGAUACUGACGCUCAUGCACGAAAGCGUGGGGAGCAAACAGG